GUUGUUUUUUUUUUAAGUUCUUGAGUUCUUUUUCAUGUUUUAUUCAAUGUUUUGUUCAAAUGCACACAAGCCUUGAGGUGUGACACCCUGCUCCUUAAAUAAACCUCCUACACUUCUUCCUUUUCACAGCACGUUUCACUGUUGUUUUUCUUUACUGUUUCUUGUUGUUGUUGUUUAUUUUUGAGAAGAAACAUUCUCAGUGAUUUGUAUCACCUAAUACCAUGCUUACGCUCAAGCUGUACACAUGGUAAUGAGUAAUAUGUGUGAUGAUUGAUCUAUUUGUCAUGUUAACUCUGUCCAUUAAACUAAUGACUCACUCACAGUAGCUCUAACAAGGUAACUUAAGUUCUUGAGUUCUUUUUCAUGUUUUAUUCCAUUUAAAAACUACAUUAAUAUACAGAGUUAAUUAAAGACCUAGUUUGAACUGAUUAAAAUUGAUGCUUGGAAUUGCCUUGCUUGACAGUGUAUAUGUUCUCAGAAAAACAAUUUAUAGGUUACAUGUCAUGUUCAUGCAUAGUUUUUUUUUUCUCUUCUGUAUCAAGUUUUGAGUGUUCAAAUGCACACAACAGGAUGUGGUAUCUGAGGAACUAGUCGUCGGGUGUGUUAUCGCUCAGUAAAGUGUUCAGGGCAAUCCUUCCUGUAUGAAAAACCAACACUGAGUUGCAAGCCUUGUUUUUAACUUCAAUUCCUAAAGAAAAUAACCAACAUGAAAUAUUUUACAAGGUAUAUGUGCUAUAAUGAAAAUAACUCAUAGACUGUGAUUUCUCUAACAUCAGAAAUGGUCUACAAUUCUACACAGCACACCUACAUGGUCUCUUGCCAGCUCAUAUAGGCUAAAGGACAACCAAGUAGCGACUCUAUGAUACAGAUGUGGUGGAAUUUUCUCAGAUGAAAUAACGCACCGUUAUUAAAAAGUGAUGAUGUCAGACUCCAAUGUAGACAACACUCGAACUGUCAUAAUUCUCUUAUUCAUCCUGGUCCUCCUUGUUCUUCUACUGCUAUACCUCUACAAGCGACUGAACUACGAAACAAAGGAUGAAUAUACCAUCCAGCGGCUUGUUUUAGGUGAGGGAGGCCUUCGUGAUCGUGUGAUACAAGGCAUUGCAGUGGUGGAGACCAGGUUAGGUGAUCGCUUAAGGUCUCGAACCCAUGAUGAGGAGCAAGCUUUAAGCAGUAAUGAAGCUGGGAACAAUGACGGAGAAGAAGGAGAGGAAGAAGAUGCAGGGCAAGACCACAGUGAAAAUGAGAACAAGACAGAAGAGAAGGACCAGGAACAUUGCAAUUCAUCAGAUGACUAUUCCAGCAUUGACCUAAAGGAGAGAGUAAAGAAGAAUAACAGCAAGGAAAACGAAGAAGAACAAGAGGAGGAGGAAGAAGAAGAUGAUGUGGCAAAAGAUGAAGCAAAAGGAGAUGACAGUAAAAAAGACAAAGAUGUGAAGGAUGAAGAAAGAGUUGGCUUACUUGUUGACCUGAAGACAUUUUCUGGCAGCGCCAUUUGGUCUGGGGAGAAAACAGAAGAGACUAACAUAACAGCUUUGUGAAAUAUACAAGGCUUUCGCUUAAAUAUGAGGCUCAUUAAGAGAAAAUUGUGUUGUAGAUUUGAGGAUGUUUGUCUUGGAAUGAUGGAGUGAUUUACAUUAUGUUGUUCUUGAAAAUAAUAAUAAUAAACCCAAUAUAUUCAUCAGAUUUUCCUAUCCAUAGCUUAUUGUUGUUAUUAGCAUAUUUUGUGUAAAGGUUUAUUUUUUUGUUCUGAGAAUAUAUUUUUUCAAAAAAACUGUACAUGCUUUUUUUAAAUAAAUGUCCUUAAAUCAUA